UGGAUGCAACGUGGACACACCCACCCCCAGAA
rnacentral:piRNA from 1 species